UAACCUACCCUAAGGACUGGGACAACUAUUGGAAACGAUAGCUAAUACCGGAUGAUUCAUAGAUAGAUAACUAUUUAUGCUAAAAGGAGCUUCGGCUUCACCUCAGGAUGGGCUUGUGUUGUAUUAGUUAGUUGGUGAGGUAAUGGCCCACCAAGACUACGAUGCAUAUCCGAGCUGAGAGGCUGAUCGGACACAUUGGAACUGAGAUACGGUCCAAACUCCUACGGAAGGCAGCAG
rnacentral:rRNA from 1 species